GAUGAACGCUGGCGGCGUGCCUAACACAUGCAAGUCGAACGAUGAAGCUUAAAAUAUUUCUUCGGAAUGAACUUAAUUGGGUUAGUGGCGGACGGGUGAGUAACGCGUGGGUAACGUGACUUGUUCAAGGGGAUAGCCGUUGGAACCGACGAAUGAUACCGUAUGACAUCAAAUAAUGGCAUGAUUAUUUGGUCAAAGAUUUAUCGGUAGAAGAUGGACUUGCGUCUGAUUUGCUAGUGGGUAGAGGAAAAGCCUACCACGGCAACGAGCAGUGGCCGGCUUGGGAGAGGGUACGGCGGCAUUGAGGCAGGGACAAGGCCCCGACUCCUACGGGAAGUAGCAGUGGUGAAAUUAGCAGAAUAGGCGAAACCCAGAUACGGCGAGGCCGCGAGAUUGAGAAGGCCUUCGGGUUGUAAAAAUCUUUUGUAUGGGAAGAAAAUGACAGUACCAGAUGAAUAAGGACCGGCUAAUUACGUG
rnacentral:rRNA from 1 species